rnacentral:sRNA from 1 species
UGCAGUUGAGGGCAGCUCAGGGCAAUGAGGCAAAUGGCUCCAAAUGGAGAGGGGGCUCAUGGGGUGGCUCUCCAGGGUCCUGGCUCUCAGAGGAAGUGCAGCUUUGACAGGGACAGGGGUCACUUGGCUCUGCUAUCCCCUAGAUCCGAGGGAAGGGCUUCGACUGGCCGCUGCUGGUGAAGGACUUCAACCUGCUUCGCUGGCUUGGUGCCAACGCUUUCCGUACCAGCCACUACCCCUAUGCAGAGGAAGUGAUGCAGAUGUGUGACCGCUAUGGGAUUGUGGUCAUCGAUGAGUGUCCCGGCGUGGGCCUGGCGCUGCCGUGAUGGAAGAAGUGGUGCGUAGGGACAAGAACCACCCCGCGGUCGUGAUGUGGUCUGUGGCCAACGAGCCUGCGUCCCACCUAGAAUCUGCUGGCUACUACUUGAAGAUGGUGAUCGCUCACACCAAAGCCUUGGACCCCUCCCGGCCUGUGACCUUUGUGAGCAACUCUAACUAUGCAGCAGACAAGGGGGCUCCGUAUGUGGAUGUGAUCUGUUUGAACAGCUACUACUCUUGGUAUCACGACUACGGGCACCUGGAGUUGAUUCAGCUGCAGCUGGCCACCCAGUUUGAGAACUGGUAUAAGAAGUAUCAGAAGCCCAUUAUUCAGAGCGAGUAUGGAGCAGAAACGAUUGCAGGGUUUCACCAGGAUCCACCUCUGAUGUUCACUGAAGAGUACCAGAAAAGUCUGCUAGAGCAGUACCAUCUGGGUCUGGAUCAAAAACGCAGAAAAUACGUGGUUGGAGAGCUCAUUUGGAAUUUUGCCGAUUUCAUGACU